rnacentral:misc_RNA from 1 species
GAUGAAGAAUGCAGCGAAAUGCGAUACGUGGUGUGAAUUGCAGAAUUCAGUGAAUCAUCGAAUCUUUGAACGCACAUUGCACCUCUCGGUAUUCCGGGAGGUAUGCCUGUUCGAGCGUCAUUUGUACCCUCAAGCUCUGCUUGGUGUUGGGUGUUUGUUCCGCCUCUGUGUGUGAACUCGCCUCAAAACAAUUGGCAGCCGGCGUACUUGUUUCGGAGCGCAGCACAUUUUGCGAUCCAGAUCAACGUACAGCGGCAUCCAAGAAGCCUUAUUUAACGCUCUUGACCUCGGAUCAGGUAGGGAUACCCGCUGAACUUAAGCAUAUCAAUAAGCGGAGGA